UGAACAAAAAAUAGUCUGUCUCGUUGUUAAAAUUAAAAUUUGACUUUUAAGUAAAAAGGCUUAAAUAAAAUAGAAUGACGAUAAGACCCUAUAAAGCUUUAUAUUAAAAAAAUAACUAAUAAUUAAAAUUUAAAAAUUGUUUAUUUAGAAAAUAUUGUGUUGGGGCGACAAAAAUAAAAAUUGUAACUGUUUAUUUAUUAAAAACUUUUAAUAAAAGAAAAAAUGAUCCUUUAAUAAAGAUUAAAAGAUUAAGUUACUUUAGGGAUAACAGCGUAAUCUUUUUUGAGAGUUCAUAUCGACAAAAAGACUUGCGACCUCGAUGUUGAAUUAAGAAAUCCUUUUGGUGCAGCAGUCAAAAAG
rnacentral:rRNA from 1 species